AAGUCGUAACAAGGUUUCCGUAGAUGAACCUGCGGAAGGAUCAUUACAAUACUUUUACAAGUAUCCACCCAAAUUGUUGCACUGAAUUGAGCGUCCGAUAGGAAAUACAAGUGGUUUGAGAGAAUUGGCGGCUUCGUGAAGUGCUUCGGCAUUUCGGUCAGUUCUCGAUUUCUCGCAAGCAAUUGCGUGAAAGCCCUUUUUUUUUCCUAGUUCGCGUAUUUUUUCUCCUUUUUUAAAUUUUUUUAACCCCUUUCACCAAAUUACAAUUUAAACAACUUUAUUGAACUGAAUUCGAAGGAUGCUGAAAAGCGUCUAAUUCGAUUCGAUCUUUUUACGAAAUGUAAGAACAACUCUUAACAACGGAUAUCUUGGCUCUC
rnacentral:misc_RNA from 1 species